AUUGAACGCUGGCGGCAUGCCUUACACAUGCAAGUCGAACGGCAGCGCGGGCUUCGGCCUGGCGGCGAGUGGCGAACGGGUGAGUAACAUAUCGGAACGUGCCCAAGAGUGGGGGAUAACCAGUCGAAAGACUGGCUAAUACCGCAUACGAUCUAAGGAUGAAAGUGGGGGAUCGCAAGACCUCAUGCUCCUGGAGCGGCCGAUAUCUGAUUAGCUAGUUGGUGGGGUAAAGGCCUACCAAGGCGACGAUCAGUAGCUGGUCUGAGAGGACGACCAGCCACACUGGGACUGAGACACGGCCCAGACUCCUACGGGAGGCAGCAGUGGGGAAUAUUGGACAAUGGGCGCAAGCCUGAUCCAGCAAUGCCGCGUGCAGGAAGAAGGCCUUCGGGUUGUAAACUGCUUUUGUACGGAACGAAACGGACCGGGUUAAUACCCUGGGCUAAUGACGGUACCGUAAGAAUAAGCACCGGCUAACUACGUGCCAGCCGCCGCAGUAA
rnacentral:rRNA from 1 species